rnacentral:lncRNA from 1 species
GGUGGCUCCACAUUAGAAGCAUCCUAUGUAGCUGUUCUGGCUGCAGCUGCCCAAGUCUGCCUGGGCCUCCUGCAUGAGGUCACGAGUCUUAAUAAAGCCACUGACCCACACAUUUGGAAUCGUACUGACUUUUCACAACUAACAGCCAACACAUUGCCAAGAAGCAAUUCAAUUGUUGAGGAUAUCACAUCAUGCCAGGGAAAGAGAGAUGGAAUUCAGAAAGCCUGGGAUAUUGCAGGGCAUUAGUUCUUGGCGAGAUGUAUGGGGUUGGAGAGGACAGAAGCCAGCAGCUCCCAGUGCAGCAGCAAGGCUGGCCCACGUGAGCACCUGGAGCAUCAUUUCUGCUGCCACAUGCUUGGGCUGCCCCACCCCGCCGUGCCCUGCUCAGCCGUGCCCUGCUCCAUCUCCCUCGCCAGGCCUGAGACCGGCCCCCAUUGUGACUCCUGAGGUCUCUCAGCUGUCCCUCAACCUCCAGGAGAAUUGCUCUCCACUCCAGAAGCCGCCUGAUGGGGAGGCUGACCCCUCUCCAGGAAUGACUGAUCCAGGUUUAUCCUGACAGUAACCUCUCCCCAGGUCGGAAGACCUCUCAGGCUCUGUUUCUAGGGAGGCUGACCUGCUGACAAUGCUCCUAGCUGGAUUUUGUAAGUGGUCUUGAAUAAAGUCUUCCUUACUGUUUUAACAAGAGACAGGGUAAUGUUCAUUGAAUAUCUUAUACAAAGAGGAAAUCUGGCACAGAAGUGGACACGCACUCGGAGGGAAAAUGCCAAGUGACAAUGAAGGCAGAGAUCAGGUGAUGCAUCUGCAAGCUGAGCAACAUCAGGAAUUGCCAAAAACCACCAGGAGCUGGAGAGGCCUGGGACAGAGCCUCCCAUGGAGCCUCAAGGGAGCCAGCCCUGCCCAUGGAGAGGCCUGGGACGGAGCCUCCCACGGAGCCUCAAGGGAGCCAGCCCUGCCCACGCCUUGAUCUUUGACGUCCGACCUCAAGAACUAUGAGAGAACCCAUUUCUGUUGGUGAAGACUCCCCGUCUGUGGUCCCCUAUCCUGGCAGCCCUGGGAAGCUGACCUCUGGUCCCUCUGCAUCCCUGGCAUCACUCUGCCUCCCCCUCUUUUUCUCCAGUGAAUCCGACACACUCUCAGUGAGACAGCCAGGUGGCAAGGGGUCCUCGGAGAAACUCCAGCCGGCCUGCUCACUGGGCAUGUACACUGGAGUAGAGCCACAGAAGUUCAUGGUGUUUGCAGCAGGGAGGAGCCUGGCCACUCCUCUUCCUGGUUGGAACCUGGGAUUUAUUUUGUGAGGCGGGAAGCCUAUACUGGGGAGACUCUUGUUCUGCUGAGUCACCAUUCCCCCUUUAUUUUCCUUUUUGCCCAAUAAAUCCUAUUAUUCUCAGUCUUCAAAUU